UGUUUUCACUCGACUCCCCGUAAACCAAGACCUAUAGGGAGUAUAAAAUACGUCUUUUUCUUACCCCCUCAUAUACCCGUAUUC
rnacentral:ncRNA from 1 species